rnacentral:lncRNA from 1 species
AUUAUUGAAAAUAUGUAGUAUCAAAGUUGCAAAUUCCUUUGGCAACCUUUGAUAACCUGACCAAGAAGCAGCAUUGAUGUUUCAAAAAUAAGUAGCAGCAUUGAGGACAAUGAAGACCAUCCUGUCCCGUCAAUUUAUGUUCGUUCUAAAAAAGGCAUUAUUACAUCGGAUAUAAUUAAUAUUGUGGAGCAUGUAUAAUAAAAUUGGGAGCACACUAACUUCAGGGUUACAAUCAAGCUGCG